rnacentral:lncRNA from 1 species
UACUUAUAAGUACAUUGAUGGAUACACCAACUCCUCUACGAAGACGAAGGAAUAUAUCUCUUUGUUACUCGUACAUCCUAUUCCACUUUGAUUGUAUGACGAUUGCUUGCUUCUUCUAUGAAUCCUUUAUUCUGAAAUAUAUGUAAGCCUUUGUAAAUGAACGUGUAUUGUACUAUGCUUGCUUCUUCUAAGAAUCCUUUAUUCUGAAAUAUAUGUAAGCCUUUGUAAAUGAACGUGUAUUGUACUAUGCUUGCUUCUUCUAAGAAUCCUUUAUUCUGAAAUAUAUGUAAGCCUUUGUAAAUGAACGUGUA